AGUAAUGCAUGGAGCUGACCAAUACUAAUCGGUCGAGGGCUUAUCCUAAAA
rnacentral:rRNA from 1 species